ensembl:lncRNA
GUGCCGUUACCAAUCAUGUUAACAUGGAGCCUGAGAGCCAACAGUGUUUCUAUAAGAGCUAUGAAGUAAGAGGUUAAUGUGUAAAUUAUCCUUAAUAACUGAUGUUAAACGCUUCGCAUCUGUAAUCUUGUUUACCAAUCAUUCGAUGAAGCAACAAAUGUUACUGUAUAUUGAUAAAGCUACUCACCUUGAAUGGAUAUAUGAAAUUGUAUGUUUGAUAAAUUAAUUCCAUUUCUAUUUUGUGCUUCAAUUGAAUAUGUACCAUCCUCUGUCCUGUUGAUGUCGUUUAUGGUAAAUAUUCCUGUGUUGACGUUAAAUGAAUAAUCAAACUUUUUUGUCUGACUUUUGUACUUUACAAUCGGGACAUUGUCUUUCUUCAGGUUGUAGAUAUCAUCUUGUGAGGUCUUAGUAGCCAGCAGGACCUUCACGGUUCCUCCCAGAGAGCCAAAGCACUGGGUCGUGAUGUGUGGCUGUGUGGCAUCGCAGAAGGUCUUCACACCUGGAGGUUUACAGAGGAGAAUAAAACAAUACAGGAGAUAUAGCUCACUGAGAUUCACAGUUCUACUCUCACUUUUGCUACAACAAAUCUCUAUAAGAGCUAUGAAGUCAGAGGUUAAUGUCAAAAUGAUCCUUAAUGACCUUAAUGAAUCCUUAAUGAUGAUGAGAGGGAAACAGCAGCUAAAAACCUUUUUUCCUCUUAUCUGUAACCCUGGUUACCAAUAAUUAACUACUGCUACUGAAAUAAGAUAUAGUUCCUUACCUUGAAUGGUUAAAUUACAUUUUGUAUUUGCUACUUCCCUUCCAGCUGCAUCGUGUAGUUCCAUAGAGUAUGUACCGUUGUCUGACCAGUCGAUGUCCUUUAUAGCAAAUAUUCCAGUACUGAUAUUAAAUGAAUAUCGAAAGUUUGUUGUCUCACUGCUCUUGGACAAAACCACAACAUUGUCUUUCUUCAGUUUGUAGAUAUCAUCUUGUGAGGUCUUAGCAAGCAGCUGGACCUUCACGGUUCCUCCCAGAGAGCCAAAGCACUGGGUCGGGAUGUGUGGCUGUGUAGCGUUGCAGAAGGUCUUCACACCUGGAGGUUUACAGAAGAGAGAGUAAAACAAUACAGGAGAUAUAUCUCACUCAGAUUCACAGACUACACUAUUUACUCCACUA